UAUUACUCAGGUCACUAGGGAUCGCCAUUUGAGAGAAGUUCUAGAAACUGAUAAAGCAGAGCAUGUGUGGGCGGAAAGUGUUUAUGCACUUAUGCAGUACGAUGAUGCAGUACUACAUACAGAGGAUUCGGAUAGCUCCAGAGAACGAGCAGAAGUUACACCAGAGAAAGAAAUGUCUUAGGAAGCCGUGGAUCCUCUUCUUCCCCAGAACUGAUUCUCUCAAAGUCAGAAGACAGACAGACCUACCUGCAUCUGGAGCCUCUCCUCCUUCCCUGCAGUUCCUCUUCAUGUGGACCCUGAACCAUUUCCUUUGUUCACAAAAUUUCAGACGACAUGGUAGUCCGGGGCGAUCAGCAGAGAUACUUUACAGGCCAGGCUGGCUCCAUGAGCAAAUCAAUCCAGAGAGGAGUCAAAUUUAUUCCUUCCCUGGAGUUGGACAACUUGUUCACUCAUGAUCAUGUACUUUUUCCUUUCUCCAAUUAGAU
rnacentral:lncRNA from 1 species